GAAGCGGCAACAGCUCAAAUUUGAAAUCUGGCGCAAGCCCGAGUUGUAAUUUGUAGAGGAUGCUUCUAGGUAGCGGUCGGUCUAAGUUCCUUGGAACAGGACGUCAUAGAGGGUGAGAAUCCCGUAUGUGAUUGACUUGCACCUUCUACGUAGCUCCUUCGACGAGUCGAGUUGUUUGGGAAUGCAGCUCUAAAUGGGAGGUAAAUUUCUUCUAAAGCUAAAUACCGGCCAGAGACCGAUAGCGCACAAGUAGAGUGAUCGAAAGAUGAAAAGCACUUUGGAAAGAGAGUUAAAAAGCACGUGAAAUUGUUGAAAGGGAAGCGCCUACAACCAGACUUUGCGGCAGUGUUCCGCCGGUCUUCUGACCGGUCUACUCUCUGUCGUGAGGCCAUCAUCGUCUGGGCCCGCCGGAUAAGACCUAAGGAAUGUAGCUGCCCUCGGGUAGUGUUAUAGCCUUUGGUGAUGCGGCGAGGCUCGGGCGAGGUCCGCGCUUCGGCAAGGAUGAUGGCGUAAUGGUUGUCGGCGGCCCGUCUUGAAACACGGACCAAGGAGUCUAACAUCUAUGCGAGUGUUCGGGUGUCAAACCCCUACGCGUAAUGAAAGUGAACGGAGGUGGGAACUUUUUGUGCACCAUCGACCGAUCCUGAUGUCCUCGGAUGGAUUUGAGUAAGAGCAUAGCUGUUGGGACCCGAAAGAUGGUGAACUAUGCCUGAAUAGGGUGAAGCCAGAGGAAACUCUGGUGGA
rnacentral:rRNA from 1 species